GGCCGCCCUGCGUAUCCGGUUCUAUUUUUGGCUGGCGUCCAGCACGUUCGGUGCAUUAAAUUGCACAUUAUAAAAAAUUUAUAAUGGGGAUGAAAGCAACAGAACUUAAAAAAAAAUUAAAGAAAGUGGUGAUGUGCGUGAAUCCUUACAUACAGGCGUAGAAGGAAUAUGAAAUUGUGGAGCUAAGUAAGUUACUUCUUUUUUCACCACCAUCAGUCAGUCCACGUGACCAAACCAAAUUUUUGGUGUCUCAUUUUUUCACUUCAGAUAAAGACGAAUCAAAAAAUUACCAUAUUCAUAUUCAUUCUUGGGAGUCUCAUGCGCAAGUAUGUGUGUGCGUGUGUGCAGCCGCGCUGCAUCCAUUGAAAAAUUCUAUUCACACACGCACAUGCACGAAGUAGUUGCAGUCGUGUAAACGCACAUGAAGGGUGCGCAAUGCCGUUAAUUUACCUACAUCGCCCAUUCAUGCCGUUUGUAGAUUUAUAAAUCCCUAUGCGACUUUGCCGUGUAUCGUUGCAGCUCAUUCAUCGGAAUCAGACAAACAAAUAACAGAAAUUUGGCGAAGUAACACGCACUCAUCAAAUAAUUUAUAAGCAGGACUCGCGAAUCUCAUUGGAAUAGAUGGAAAACACAGACCGUGGAAUUAACUAUUUGUUUACCUUUCUUACAAUGGUAACUUCGCCCACAAGUUUUUAAACGUACCCCGAAAUGUACGAAAGAACAAAGUGCAUCUGGGCAUAUUGGAAUGUCACCCAGGAAAUCCAUGUAAGGGGUUGAUUUUUAGCAGUUGAACGAUGAGGCUAAAAUCAAUAUCUUGUGCAGGUAACCGGCCAUGGUUGUGUGUAAAAAAUUUGUAUGUGCCUGAAGCUGUUUUUGUAUGUGAUAUGAAAAAAGUAUUUUUACGCUGAUUCCGGGAAACUAUUUUUUUCUUGGGGGACGGACUCGGGACCUGAAAGUCCGGGUCUCCAUUUACCCGAUAUAGACAAUAUAGGUAUCGUUUGAAAGCUUAUGAAAAUGCCUAUCCAACAAGUGGUCACAUGAAUGGGUUAUUAGAAGUUAUAGUCAAAUUAUCAAUUUUUUGGACCCGGAUUUUUUAUAAAUCCUCCAAAAAGUCAGAAAAGGGUCCAUUAUAUGGGUCAACAAAAUUAAUGCCAAAUUAUAGCUAACACUCUUACCUUUCCAAAAUGGUACAAUUGGUUCUGGGUCCAGAG
rnacentral:sRNA from 12 species